rnacentral:rRNA from 1 species
AUUGAACGCUGGCGGCAUGCCUUACACAUGCAAGUCGAACGGCAGCACGGGAGCAAUCCUGGUGGCGAGUGGCGAACGGGUGAGUAAAGUAUCGGAACGUGCCCAGUCGUGGGGGAUAACGUAGCGAAAGUUACGCUAAUACCGCAUACGAUCUAUGGAGGAAAGCGGGGGAUCGCAAGACCGCGCGCGAUUGGAGCGGCCGAUAUCAGAUUAGGUAGUUGGUGGGGUAAAGGCUCACCAAGCCGACGAUCUGUAGCGGGUCUGAGAGGACGACCAGCCACACUGGGAAUGGGACACGGCCCAGACUCCUACGGGAGGCAGCAGUGGGGAAUUUUGGACAAUGGGCGAAAGCCUGAUCCAGCCAUGCCGCGUGCAGGAUGAAGGCCUUCGGGUUGUAAACUGCUUUUGUACGGAACGAAAAGGUUUGGCCUAAUAAGCUGAGCUCAUGACGGUACCGUAAGAAUAAGCACCGGCUAACUACGUGCCAGCCGCCGCCGUAA